rnacentral:lncRNA from 1 species
GCGGCCGUGGGGACAGGCGUACGGUUGCUCAUACCGGAGCGCAUCAGUACUUUCCAGGGUUCGAAGAAAAGGUCAUCUGUAAGAGGAGUGACACAGAGCGAGGCAGCGCCAGCAAGAUGGGAACCAUCAGUGACAAGGACAGCAAGGAUGCAUUGCUCGGGACGGGCAUUGCGACCGGAGUAUUGAUUCCAGCAGCCGUGGUCGCUGGUCCCUUGGCACCGCUGGUUCUAACAAUUGGACUAGGAGUAGCUGCCGCCGGAUCCACAGCAGGAUUCGUUACCGUUGCGAGUCUGCCAAGUGAUGAAAAAAAGUAGCAGCAAUAUGCCGAGCCAUUAUCUGCUGGUGGUAUCCCAAGCUGUCAACGUAGUAAGCCGCCACAGCAUAAUUGCCUCGGUGCUGAUUUCCCAAGACGUCGUCUACUUCUCCUAGUUUUGUUCUAGUAGUCACAGUAGGUGUGCAAAUGGUGGUGGGGUUAUUGAUUAAGCACUCAGUAACAGCAUGCUAAUCCACAGUUAAAAUGGUUUGAUAUAAGCAAUAAAUU